GUCUGGGUGGCUCAGUCGGUUAAGCCUCUGACUUCAGCUCAGGUCAUGAUCUCACAGUUCGUGGGUUCGAGCCCCACAUCGGGCU
rnacentral:tRNA from 1 species